rnacentral:rRNA from 1 species
AGUGGCGAACGGGUGCGUAACGCGUAUGCAACCUGGCCCUUACUGGGGGAUAGCCCGGGGAAACCCGGAUUAAUACCCCAUAAUAUCUCCUUAUCACAUGGUAUAGAGAUUAAAGAUUUAUCGGUAAGGGAUGGGCAUGCGUGCCAUUAGCUAGUUGGUAGUGUAACGGACUACCAAGGCAACGAUGGCUAGGGGGUCUGGGAGGAUGAUCCCUCACACUGGUACUGAGAUACGGACCAGACUCCUACGGGAGGCAGCAGUAGGGAAUAUUGGUCAAUGGGCGAGAGCCUGAACCAGCCAUGCCGCGUGCAGGAUGACGGCCUUCUGGGUUGUAAACUGCUUUUAUACGGGAAGAAAACGCCCAUGCGUGGGUAACUGACGGUACCGUAAGAAUAAGCAUCGGCUAACUCCGUGCCAG